GUGUGUAAUAAAAUCAAACAUGUAGAUGGAAGACAGAGGAAGAGGUGGUGGUCCCAAAACAUUUAAUCGUUGUAGAAGACGUGGUGUUAGUUAGGAGCUCCAAUUACCACCAACCCUUCCACCUCUUCCAUUCACAUAUCAACCUUAGAGUCGAUGAUUCAGGUCGUUGCACCAACACUAAACACACUUCCUAUAGCUCAAGACCAACAAAAUCCAACCUUUGCAAGGGAGUCAAUUCCCACUACCCCUAUUGGAGAUGCUUCACCUUUAGCACUAGAUUAUUCUCUUACACCUAAGUACCCACAUGAUCCAAAUUGUGAACAUAUUAUUGAUUAGAGGCCUUUCAUUCACGCAUAUAAAGGAGAGUAAGUGCAUUCUAUUUAACUAUUAAUUUUUCUUAAAAUGUUUUUUAAAUGUGAUAUUUACAAUGUCUUUGUACAUAGGUUUCAACCAACAUAUGAAUGUUCGAAUAUCAUAUCAGAUAUCAUUAGUUGGUUGAAGGUAUUAGUUGACCUUCACGAUAGGUGGUUUGGAGAGUUUAAGGUGGUACCUAGCAGAAGAGCUAGACAUUAGAGUUGUUUUUGAGACAAAAGGUUCAGCAUUUUGAAAAGUGCAAUGAACAAGAUAAAAAAUGGUCAAGAUAAAGGAUAGUAGAUAACAACCAAUAUUCGAGUAGCCUUGGAUGAACAUUAGGGUCCUACAAAUUUCCUAGACAAGAGCUCCACUGCUAAGGCGAAUCGAUCUGUUAACAGAGGAGCCUUAACAUACUGUGGUGGUUCCAUAUCUACUGCAGUUCACUUUGAAAAGCAGUCAAAGGAGUUUCAAGGACCACCAACUGCUUGGGAAAUGAUGGAGAAAACUAUGAAAUUGAAGUCGGGAGAAUAGGUCAAUGAUAAAUCUCGUGAGUUUGCUGAGAAAUAUCAACAUCGUCGAGAGGAAAUAUACAACAUUCGACAAAGGAAGACACAUCUACACAUGAUUCCCCUAACACUGCUACUUCUGUUAAUGAUAAUGAAAUGUAUUUGAAUGUUGUUGGAGGCCCAAAUUAUAAGGGGAGCAUGUACAAACUAGGUACUUUGAGCAAAAGGUUUAGUUGCUCAAAAUUAGCUUCAUCUACUUCUAUUGCUCCUGUGGAAGACCAAAUGGAGGAAAUGCACGAGACAAUUAAUAAAUUGAAUGUUGAGUUUUUGACAAAGGCAAAUAAGGAGAAGACACUUGAGGAAAAGAUGUUGUAGCUGAUGGAGAAUCAUGACCACCAAAGUAAGGAGAUGCGACAAUAAAUGCAAGAACAAAAUGAGCAAAUUCGUCAACAAAAUGAGCAAAUCCAACUUAUAUUACAACACUUGCAUAUUUAGUCUAUCAUGCCAACUCCUAGUCCAUCGACUAUCAUAACAAAUGGAAGUGAGCACCAUGUUGAUGAUGCUUAGGUUAAUCAUCCUCAUGACAUGUGAAAGGAUCAUUGACUCUUGGUUAUUGUUUAUUUUACUUUGAUUA